GGAAUUGAUUAGAUUGCCCUCUUGAAUGCGGCUGUUGGUAGACUGUUCAGAAUGGGCAGAAGAACUAAAAGAUAAUGGCAGAAAGUGACACCAUUUUGUGUGAAGCUUGCAGACACUGACUGUGAAAGGAAUCCCUGAAGUCAUGGGAGGAGGAGAAAGACAUCUUCAUUUCUGGAAAACAGGAUGACAAGAGAUAGAACAUGUAAGGAACAUGUGUAAACAUCAGACUCUGCUGGUUAUUGAACCAAACGCAGUCUCAGAGAAGCCUCACCCUCAUCCUGAACAGUACCUAUGCCUCAAGCCUUCUUCAAAAUGCUGCAAAUCUCAUUUCCCCAUCAGAGUUGCAUGCUGUUAUUCACAUCUCAACGUGACAGAGCUAGGAAGACGAAAAGCCAGCAUUUGAACCUGUAUGAGAAGACCUGCCAAGACAUUGGCUAGAAUCCUCUGGAGAUUGACUCCGUCAGAGUGGUGCCCAAACAUCCAGACCUUGAGAGCCUGGCUGCAUUUGCUGCUGUGACAGCAACUGCCCUCAAUGGCCCUCUGAAUUACAGCUGCCUACAGAGCCCCUGGCCAAGGUCCCC
rnacentral:lncRNA from 1 species